UACGUAGGGGGCAAGCGUUAUCCGGAAUUACUGGGUGUAAAGGGAGCGUAGACGGUAAUGUAAGUCUGGAGUGAAAGGCGGGGGCCCAACCCCCGGACUGCUCUGGAAACUAUGUUACUAGAGUGCAGGAGAGGUAAGCGGAAUUCCUAGUGUAGCGGUGAAAUGCGUAGAUAUUAGGAGGAACACCAGUGGCGAAGGCGGCUUACUAGACUGUAACUGACGUUGAGGCUCGAAAGCGUGGGGAGCAAACAGG
rnacentral:rRNA from 1 species